CCUACGGGAGGCUGCAGUGGGGAAUAUUGGGCAAUGGGCGCAAGCCUGACCCAGCAACGCCGCGUGAAGGAAGAAGGCUUUCGGGUUGUAAACUUCUUUUCUCAGGGACGAAGAAAGUGACGGUACCUUAGGAAUAAGCUUCGGCUAACUACGUGCCAGCAGGCGCGGUAAUACGUAGGGAGCGAGCGUUAUCCGGAUUUAAUGGGUGUAAAGGGCGUGUAGGCGGGAUGGCAAGUCAGGCGUGAAAACUAUGGGCUACACACGUGGCCUGCGUUUGAAACUGUCGUUCUUGAGUGGUGGAGAGGCAAGCGGAAUUCCGGGUGUAGCGGUGAAAUGCGUAGAUAUAAGGAGGAACACCAGUGGCGAAGGCGGUCUGCUGGACAUCAACUGACGCUGAGGCGCGAAAGCGUGGGGAGCAAACAGGAUUAGAUACCCUUGUAGUC
rnacentral:rRNA from 1 species